CAGAAAUGUUAAUAAUUUACUACAUGAUGGGCCAUACUCUGUGAUUCAGAAGUACUUAUUUAGUAAUAGGUUUGUAUUUGGUAGGAAAGCUUAGUAGAUAAUUCUUUUGAUGUACACUUUUAUCUGAAAUGAGAACCGACAGCAUGUUUUUGGGCUAUGCCAACACAUCUUGCCAAAGCCUGGUUUGGAUGUUAAAUAUUCAAAGCCCACACAUUGCUAUGUGGUUCCAUUUAGCCAAGAACUUUCCUGAGACAUCAAGGGAAAUCUCCUGGACAGGCACGGGAUUUGGUCUUCGGUGGGGCCUGAAAUUCUGUACUGACAGCAAGCUCCCAGGUAACACUGAUGUUGAGGGUCCAUGGACCCCACCAGGGCAGCAAGUCCCCAUGCUGAUCGUCACAGGGUUGCAGUCUAGGUGGGAAGACAAGAGACACACAUGUAAGCAGUUAAGCUGUGUUACAGAGCCAAGGAUGUUCAUGUCAUGAAAUGAGCUGAGAUUUGCAUUCCUGAGCUGACGGAAGAAGAUAAAACAUAAGACAAAGACCUCCCAAAUCAAUUUGACAAGUAUUCAUCAAGCAAGAUUUCAAAACGUUUAAGAAAGAAAAUCUCUUAGACAAAAU